AAGAAGAAGAAGAAGAAGGAGAAGAAGAAGGAGAAGAGGAGGAGGUAUCAUUCUGACUGUGGUUGUUGCUUUUUGUGCUGCCUUUUUUUUGGCAAAGAGCCUUUUUCUUUUCCCCUUCCUCCUCCUCUU
rnacentral:ribozyme from 12 species